ensembl:snRNA LOC120093931 U7 small nuclear RNA
AGCUAUUGCAGCUCUUUUAGAAUUUGUCUAUCAGGUUUUCUGUCUUUAGUCAGGAAAUCCAA